UUUUCUUCCUCGACUUGCUAUACCCCAAA
rnacentral:sRNA from 1 species